rnacentral:RNase_P_RNA from 1 species
GGCUGUCGCUGCAUAGCAGAGGAAAGUCCGGGCAACACUGAGCCGCCAUACUUCCUAACAGGAAGGCAGCCGCGAGGCUGACAGCUAGUGCCGCAGAAAAUAACCGCCGGUUUUCCGGUAAGGGUGAAAACGUGAGGUAAGAGCUCACGCGGGGAGUGGUGACAUUUCUCCGGGGUAAACCUUAUGGGUUGAAAGAUCAAAUAUACCGUAUGUCAAGGUGGGCUCGGCCGAAGACGGGGGGUAGAUCGAUAGAGCAGUCCGGUGACGGGCUGCCGAGAUAAAUGACAGCCGCCAUGGUUGAUGGUACAGAACCCGGCUUAUAGGGUCAU